rnacentral:rRNA from 1 species
AACGAACGCUGGCGGCAGGCCUAACACAUGCAAGUCGAACGGUUCCUUCGGGGACAGUGGCAGACGGGUGAGUAACGCGUGGGAAUCUACCUUGUGGUACGGAACAACCAAGGGAAACUUUGGCUAAUACCGUAUGAGCCCUUCGGGGGAAAGAUUUAUCGCCAUAAGAUGAGCCCGCGUAGGAUUAGCUAGUUGGUGAGGUAAAGGCUCACCAAGGCGACGAUCCUUAGCUGGUCUGAGAGGAUGACCAGCCACACUGGGACUGAGACACGGCCCAGACUCCUACGGGAGGCAGCAGCGGGGAAUAUUGGACAAUGGGCGCAAGCCUGAUCCAGCCAUGCCGCGUGUGUGAUGACGGCCUUAGGGUUGUAAGGCACUUUCGCCGAUGAAGAUAAUGACUGUAGUCGGAGAAGAAGCCCCGGCUAACUUCGUGCCAGCCGCCGCCGUAA